CCUACGGGAGGCAGCAGUGAGGAAUAUUGGUCAAUGGACGAGAGUCUGAACCAGCCAAGUAGCGUGAAGGAUGACUGCCCUAUGGGUUGUAAACUUCUUUUAUAUGGGAAUAAAAUGUUCCACGUGUGGGAUUUUGUAUGUACCAUAUGAAUAGGGAUCGGCUAACUCCGUGCCAGCAGCCGCGGUAAUACGGAGGAUCCGAGCGUUAUCCGGAUUUAUUGGGUUUAAAGGGAGCGUAGGUGGAUUGUUAAGUCAGUUGUGAAAGUUUGCGGCUCAACCGUAAAAUUGCAGUUGAAACUGGCAGUCUUGAGUACAGUAGAGGUGGGCGGAAUUCGUGGUGUAGCGGUGAAAUGCUUAGAUAUCACGAAGAACUCCGAUUGCGAAGGCAGUUCACUGGACUGCAACUGACACUGAGGCUCGAAAGUGUGGGUAUCAAACAGGAUUAGAUACCCCAGUAGUC
rnacentral:rRNA from 1 species